rnacentral:rRNA from 1 species
AACGAACGCUGGCGGCAUGCCUAACACAUGCAAGUCGAACGAGACCUUCGGGUCUAGUGGCGCACGGGUGCGUAACGCGCGGGAACCUGCCCUUAGGUUCGGAAUAACUCCCCGAAAGGGGUGCUAAUACCGGAUAAUGUCUUCGGACCAAAGAUUUAUCGCCUUUGGAUGGGCCCGCGUUGGAUUAGCUAGUUGGUAGGGUAAAAGCCUACCAAGGCGACGAUCCAUAGCUGGUCUGAGAGGAUGAUCAGCCACACUGGGACUGAGACACGGCCCAGACUCCUACGGGAGGCAGCAGUGGGGAAUAUUGGACAAUGGGCGAAAGCCUGAUCCAGCAAUGCCGCGUGAGUGAUGAAGGCCUUAGGGUUGUAAAGCUCUUUUAACCGGGAUGAUAAUGACAGUACCGGGAGAAUAAGCUCCGGCUAACUCCGUG